UUGCAACUAUCUCAACUAGCAGUCAUUAGAGCAUUAGUAGACUGUCCGCUUAAUAUCUUUUAACACUUUAUUUUGAACACUUUACUAUAUAUAUGUAUUAUUCUAGUUAUUAAGCAUGUAGAAUCAGUUGACAUGUAUUUGCAAAGUUACUUAUAACGUCUAAAGUGGACUACCAAAAUAAAGUGUAACUGGAAAUAUAUUACAGUUUAAGCUCAUAUCGACUUUACAGUUGACUCAUUCAAUACUUAAGUUCAUUUUAAGCCUUUUUUACUUAACCUAAAACAUUAACUUAAAACAUUUAUUCAGACAUUAUAAAAGCAAGUAUGCUGUAUGUACAAUUGAGCAGCUGUUUAUAUGAUUAAUAUUAUAUUAUAUGCAGCUUUGGCCACUGAGCAGUGCUUGGUUGGAAAUGGUGUACUGAUAAGCCUAGAACUUCCAAAAGGUAAGACAGACAUCUUAGUAUGAUAGCAUCGUCUCUGAGGGGCGACUUCAACAUUCAAACACAUCCGUCUGAACGCAUUUCAGCUUUUCUUUCAGAUGGGUUCUUAUCAUACUUUGACUUUACUGAACGAUGCCAAUCAGACCUCGGGAAACAAGUUAUCUGAUGCAUGAAGGAAACGCCAAAAUCCUGCAUAUUACAACUACAGGAAACUCACUGCACUCACAGAUUUAGAAAAUACGUUUUUAAAAUUUUGCCGGUUUAGUGCAAGUCUACAAUCAGAACGUGUAAACGUAAAUGGCUCUGUUUCAUUACUUUCGGUUGACUAUAUCACUACUUUAUGUUACAAAUUGAGAGGUGAGCCACGUUUUCGUAUCAAACGCGGAAAUUUCCUUCGAGGCCAUAAACUUUUAUGUGAUAGCAGACAUUCAGUAGGCCAUGUUUUUAGUGGUAAUCGUAUGUCACUGGGCCUUGACUCGUGGAAGCCGUGCGGUGGAUUCAGUGACAAACUGAGGACCGCAAAAUUACAGAUUCCUGAACCCAACGUCUAAUUACCACAUUACCAAAGCACCGUACACAGGCUUAUUUUGGAUUGUCGUAGUCAUAAAUUCAUCUGUGUUUAGAUCAGCAUGUGCUGCACAUGCUUCAAUGCUGUGCACUCAGUCGGAUUGCAGCAAGAAGAAGAAGAAGAAGAAGAAGAAGAAGAAGAAAAUAGGCAUGCAGAGUUUAACGGCUCUCCGUCGCUCUCCCUGGGUCUCCGGGCCUGUUGACUGAAGCAUGUGAUGUACAGCCCCAGUCUCACACACUUCCUCAACCCUGGGACUUAUCGGCUAUGUUUCGGAUUGCAUAAUUCAGUGCUACUCGUAUAAUUUAUGCAGUAAUCAUGCAUUUUUUUGGAUUGCAUAGAUUGGAUGAUCUACUGCAUUUCUUACUCCAUUCGUUAUCAGGGUUGGAAUUAAAGAUUACAGUUGUUAUUGUACAAUAAUGUUUUCAUCUUUCAUAAUUGAUUAUAUAAUAUCAAAUGUUGGUCUUAUUUAGAAAAAUUGUUCAUUUUGUUUUUAACAAAAAAAGCUUGCGAAUGCAUGAAAAUGCAUAUAAAUAGUACGCUGCAUAAAACGAAAACUUGUGGUAUUUAUAUGAAUAAAUGGAUUUUGGUGUAUAUAUGA